UACGUAGGGACCAAGCGUUGUUCGGAUUUACUGGGCGUAAAGGGCGCGUAGGCGGCUUAACAAGUCACUUGUGAAAUCUCCGGGCUUAACUCGGAACGGCCAAGUGAAACUGUCAAGCUAGAGUGCAGAAGGGGCAAUCGGAAUUCUCGGUGUAGCGGUGAAAUGCGUAGAUAUCGAGAGGAACACCUGCGGCGAAGGCGGGUUGCUGGGCUGACACUGACGCUGAGGCGCGAAAGCUAGGGGAGCGAACGGG
rnacentral:rRNA from 1 species